rnacentral:rRNA from 2 species
AGACCCGAAACCCGGUGAUCUAGCCAUGGGCAGGUUGAAGGUUGGGUAACACUAACUGGAGGACCGAACCGACUAAUGUUGAAAAAUUAGCGGAUGACCUGUGGCUGGGGGUGAAAGGCCAAUCAAACCGGGAGAUAGCUGGUUCUCCCCGAAAGCUAUUUAGGUAGCGCCUCGUGAAUUCAUCUCCGGGGGUAGAGCACUGUUUCGGCUAGGGGGCCAUCCCGGCUUACCAACCCGAUGCAAACUGCGAAUACCGGAGAAUGUUAUCACGGGAGACACACGGCGGGUGCUAACGUCCGUCGUGAAGAGGGAAACAACCCAGACCGCCAGCUAAGGUCCCAAAGUCAUGGUUAAGUGGGAAACGAUGUGGGAAGGCCCAGACAGCCAGGAUGUUGGCUUAGAAGCAGCCAUCAUUUAAAGAAAGCGUAAUAGCUCACUGGUCGAGUCGGCCUGCGCGGAAGAUGUAACGGGGCUAAACCAUGCACCGAAGCUGCGGCAGCGAACGUAUCACCCAAGACAACUUUACGGAGUUGACGAUUGACGGAGCGAAGCGACGUCAAAGCGUUCAUUAAAGUCGAGUUGGCUUAGGGAUACGUUCGUUGGGUAGGGGAGCGUUCUGUAAGCCUGUGAAGGUGUGUCGUGAGGCAUGCUGGAGGUAUCAGAAGUGCGAAUGCUGACAUAAGUAACGAUAAAGCGGGUGAAAAGCCCGCUCGCCGGAAGACCAAGGGUUCCUGU